rnacentral:rRNA from 1 species
GUAGGGAAUAUUGCACAAUGGAGGAAACUCUGAUGCAGCGACGCCGCGUGAGUGAUGAAGGCCUUCGGGUCGUAAAGCUCUGUCGCAGGGGAAUAACACAAUGAAGGUACCCUGUAAGAAAGGAUCGGCUAACUUCGUGCCAGCAGCCGCGGUAAGACGAGGGAUCCUAGCGUUGUUCGGAAUCAUUGGGCGUAAAGCGGAUGUAGGUGGCUAUGUAAGUCAGAUGUGAAAGCCUGGGGCUCAACCCCAGAAGUGCAUUUGAUACUGCGUAGCUUGAGUGUCGGAGAGGUUACUAGAAUUGUUGGUGUAGUGGUGAAAUACGUAGAUAUCAACAGGAAUACCGGAGGCGAAGGCGGGUAACUGGCCGAACACUGACACUGAGAUCCGAAAGCGUGGGGAUCAAACAGGAUUAGAAACCCCUGUAGUCC